CUCAUCCUCUGAGACGAUCAUCAUCAUGUUCGCUGUGAAAGCAGUUUGCCUCCUCGCCACCGUUGCUAUGCUUGUUGCAGUUGUGGCUGCGGGAGCUCCGAAUAAAAACUGCAAAUUUACAUUUUCUGGAGAGAGAUGUUCUUAAAAUUAAAGAUGAAGAGACGUCAAGUUUACACUGAAGACGCUAAUCACUAAAAACACUGUGUAGUCAAUUAAUAAAGUAGUCAUGCAUACCUA